GGGCAAAGCAGUCGAAAGGCUGUGACGCAAAGCCAAAGGGACUUCGGGUUAAUACCCAUGUCAGCCGGUUGC
rnacentral:ncRNA from 1 species